GCAAAGGAAGCCAUUUGGUUUUAGUAAGAAAAGGACUUGACUUUAAAGGAUCGUCACAGAUGGGCUUGAAAGCCUGCGAGCUUCUCCAACUGCAAACAGAACCAAAGUCUCCUUUUACACAAAAGAGCAAGCAGGGCUAGACAGAGCCUGUUUGGGUCAGUGUGAAGAUGUGACAACUGGACUGGAGAAAUCCAUCAACACCCUCAGGAGAGAUGGGGACCAGCUGAGGGGAGGGUGUGGGCCGUAUGAGGUACAGGGAGCCUUGAACUGUGAGAGAGGAGAGAAGUUCGAGUUUGGUUAGCAAGUGGGGACAAAGAGGUCUAACUUGGUCUCAAUGAUGUAAUUGUCUGAGUAGAAAGGGAAAGAAAACCAGAGAAGGAAGUCACUUACUACAUCCUAACCAAGGAGCUUGAAGGUCCUGGAUUGAAAUCCUCAUUGAAUUUCCAGCAGACCAAUUUCAGAACAGAGCCCUCCCUGAGCCGAAUAACCAAAGGCAGAAAGACCUUCUGAACAGAGACAUUGUAGCUGAGAACAGAGCGAAAGUGAGAAACUAAGCCGAGAACAGAGUGAAGUCUUCAACACAGAUGUCCAGCUGUUCCAGCAUCACUUAUGAGACGAUUACCCUUCUGCUGCUGGCCUGCUUUUACAAGUAGGUGAAAAAGUUAAAAAAAAAAAAAAAAGGUGGAUUAGCCGCUCGCCGCUGCGGCCAAAUCUGACCACCCAAGUUUCAUCUCUGGAAUCUACAUGGAAGAACCAGAUAGCCGCCUCCCACGGGCUGUGCUCCGACCUCCACACCCCUCACCACACACAAAUAAUGUAAAAAAGGUUGUUAAAGAACCAGUUGGGCAUAUGUGUGUGGGUCUAUUCCUGGCUUUCUGUUCUGUCCUGUUAACCUCUGUGUCUCCGCCUCCACUCGGGUCACAUGGUCUCAGCUCGCGCAGCUGUACGAGGCUUGAAAUAGGAUCGACGGUAAUGAGCUGUUUUAUUUUUUUCAACACCGCCUCAGCUCCUCCAAUUCUUUUGUUCUCGGUAUAUAUUUUAGAAUGAGUCUCUCUCAUCUGAACCCCAAAGACUGCUGCCAGCCUCCUGCGGCCUGGGAGGGAUAAACACCUUAGCCAGGCAGUUGCUUGCCAGGGCUCACGUCUUAAACAGCAGACAGGAAGCAGGGAGAGCAAACUCGAAAUGGCUUAACAGUCCUUAAUUCUCUUUUGUUCUCUUUCAUAUUCCCGGUUGGACUUUACACAAAUAUUCUGCACGUCUUUCGGUUGAUUUAUACCAGGUGUUUUCGACUGAUUAUCAACAAUACGUAGCAUUUAAAAUUCUUUUCUCCAUGUGUUUAGUAUAUUCAAAUAAAAUUUAUUUUAAUACUUUUUAGGGGUGUGUGUGUGUGUGUGUGUGUGUGUGUGUGAGAGAGAGAGAGAGAGAGAGAGAGAGAGGGAGAGAGAGAGAGAGAGAGAGAACGUGAGUAUAUGGGUGCGUGCCUGUAUGUGUAUGUGUAUGUGUAUGUGAGUGUGUGUGCAUGUACCAAGGACUUUCAUUUGGGACACGGACAACUUAACCAGAGUCUACACCACUGAAGAAAGUGUCUCUCUGUGGUAGUGUGCAUGAGGUGUUUUCUAUAGUCUCAUGCAUUUGAACACUUGAUCCCCAAUUGAUGGCCCUGUUUAUGGAGGCUUAGGGGCUAUGUAUGGCCUUGUUGGAGGAAGUGUGUCCCUGGGGUGGGCUUUAGGGCUUCAAAGCCCCUUGCCAUUUCCAGGUCGUUCUCUCUGCUUCUUGCUUGCUGUUUAAGAUGUGAGACGGUUUCUGCUCCAGCCGCCAUGCCUGUCACCUGCAGCCACGAUGUCCCUGAUAUUAAGGACUUCUAACCCUCUGGAACUGUUACACUUGUCAGCACGAUGCAGCUCACAAGUGCUGACUGUGGACAUCCCUGCCUGCGCAGCCUUAGGAGGAAAGCGCUCUCUUCAGCCACUACAUCGGCUGCUCUCGGCUUCUUCCUUUAAACUGCGUUUAUGACCAGUGUGUGUGGGAGUCAUUAACACAGUAUGCAUGUGGAGGACAGAGGGCAGCUCUGCGGACCUCCUUCCUUCUUUCCACAUCUCACCAGUCUAAAAUGGCGCUCAAGUCACCAUGCUUACAGGGCAAGAGCAUCUACCUGCCAAGCCAUCUUGCCAACCCUGCAGUUACUUCAUAUCCAGUCGUGGAAGAUCUCCGUUGUCCCCACAUUUCUGUGAAUGGCUUUCGGUUGGUUUUUGUUUGUUUGUUUUUUUAAGAUUUAUUUAUUUACUAUAUUUAAGUACACUGUAGCUGUCUUCAGACACUCCAGAAGAGGGCCCCAGAUCUGAUGGUUGUGAGCCACCAUGUGGUAGCUGGAAUUGAACUCAUGACCUUCAGAAGAGCAGUCAGUGCUCUUAACCGCUGAGUCAUCUCUCCAUCCCCCCUCGGUUGUUUUAAUAAUACAAUGGAAACACCAUUUUAAAAAAAUCUCCAUACAGUUUUCAGGCUAUUCGCCACAUCGCAUAGUCGAUCAACACUAACUCCAGGAUGAUUUACCACUUUCUACCCCAAAGAAGCCCUGUACUCAGCUGUGCCCAGUUGCUCUCCAGUCCCUCCUCCCUCCACCCCUAGACCUUAGCUUGGAUCACUCUACUUUCUAUCUUUGAGAAUUGUCUAUUCUGAAGGUUUCUACUCCAUUCAGACUGUAAGCCUGAUUGAUGUCU
rnacentral:lncRNA from 1 species